ACCAGCCAGGCGGGGGCCAGGGAUCGCCUCCCGAGAGGUGCCCGGGCCGUGGCCCAGAGUCGCUUCCCCACUGCCCCGCCCUCCAGCCAGCCCCUGCCCGACCUCGCAGACCACCUCAGUGCGCAGGCGACUGCCCUCGCCACGCCGCGCCGCCCUGCCUCGUUCACCCCGCCCCGCGCUGAACCCAGCCCCAGCGAGGAGUCCGACCAGACGGCAAUCGACCAGACGGCGAUCGGGAGCUACUACCAGCUGUUCGCAGCGGCUGUGGGCAACGUGGAAUGGCUGCGAUUCUGUCUGAACCAGAGCCUCAGGGAAAUCCCCACCGACGACAAGGGCUUCACUGCCAUCCACUUCGCCGCCCAAUGGGGCAAGCUUGCAUGCCUGCAGGUCCUGGUAGAGGAGUACAAGUUUCCCGUGGACCUGCUGACCAACAAUAGCCAGACACCCCUGCACCUCGUCAUCCACAGGGACAACACCACCGUGGCCCUCCCCUGCAUCUACUACCUGCUGGAGAAAGGCGCAGACCUCAAUGCUCAGACAUGCAACGGCUCCACGCCCCUGCACC
rnacentral:sRNA from 1 species